GUGAGUGUGUUCUCAGGAGAUCUGAUGGUUUUAUAAGUGUUUUGUAGUUCCUCCUUCAUUCAUUCUCCUUCCUACCACCUUGUGAGGAAGGUGCUUUGCUUCCCUUUCACCUUCCACCAGGAUUGUAAGUUUUCUGAGGCCUCCCCAGCUAUGCUGAACGGUGGUAGAUCAGAGGUUUUCAGCAUGCCUCUGCCACUUGGAAAUAGCAAGAUGGUACAUAAAGAUCAACUCUGUGAGCUUUAAUCCAAGAAGGAAAUCAGGAGUCCACCAGAAUCGCAAAGGACAACCCAGAUCCCCAGGAGGAGAACCCGGCAAACAGUCCCUGUGAUGGCAUCUGCCAGAUGAAAGUGAGCGAAGCCUCAGUACGAGAGAAAUGCCGGGAGCCUCCCUCUGUGACUCACCUUUCCACUGGGCAUUGGAGCAACACAGGCCAAGGGAGAGCAUUUUGUUUCUACCAAGCUCUGGAGGUAACCUGGGGAGAGGCUUGGAGCGCUGUGAGGGACAGACACUGGGAAAAGCUGCAAACCUUUUCCCAGACCCGGAAACCAAGUGCAGGAUACCAUUUUGAAUCCAGGUACGCACAAAGUUAGUUGUUCCUUGGCGGCUCGCAUUUUAGUCUUCAGUCAAGGUUUGCAGUGUCUGCUCUGGGAUGGGGUAGGGACCUCCACAGUCAGAAUUGUGGAACACACCUCAGCAGUAGGCGCUGGAACUUUGCUCUCCUCUGUUGCAAGCCUGAGGCAGCAGGAGAGCAGCUACAUCUGUAGCUUCUCCUGGGUGGUAAGACUUGCAGCCAGGUCCAGCUUGGUGACCUGGAACUGCUCUGCGUGUGCCCCAGCCUGCUGUCCUGAUAUUAUGGUGCAGUGGGACCCUCUCUGCUCCACCCCCAGGCAGAAAUCCAGGCAUGUGUAGGACCCUGGACCAGCAGCCUGAGCCACCCACCACUCCUGGACAGAGUGUGGGGUCCAGCCUGAGCCACCCUAUCAUUCCUGGACACAGAGUGUGGGGUCCAGCCUGAGCCACCCCAUCAUUCCUGGACACAGAGUGUGGGGUCCAGCCUGAGCCACCCCACCAUUCCUGGACACAGAGUGUGGGGUCCAGCCUGAGCUACCCCACCAUUCCUGGACACAGAGUGUGGGGUCCGGCCUGAGCCACCCCACCAUUCCUGGACACAGAGUGUGGGGUCCAGCCUGAACCACCCCACCAUUCCUGGACACAGAGUGUGGUGCAGCAGGACUCUUUCCACUUCACACCUAAGCAGAUCUCCAGAUGUUCAGAGCCACCCCUCAUCUGGAUCAGCAGCCUGACACCCCAUUUAUCCUGCACAGAGGCCCUGGUACAGGGAGGCCCUCUCACUCCAUGCCCAGGCAGCUCUCCAGGCAUUUAGAAUACCUCCUCACCUGGAUCAGCAGACUGAUCCACUGCACCUGUCCUGUGCAGAGAUCCUGGUGCAGGGAAACCCUCUCCACUCCAUGCCCAGGCAGAUCUCCAGGCAUCUAGUGGGCCCAUUCUCCUGGAUUAGAAGCUUAGGCUGUCCCCCAGCCCUAUGCUGAGGACUUGGAGGCAAGGUGGUUUCCCAGCUCCAUACCUAGGCAUGCCUCUAGGCACUUGGUAGCCACCUACUGGAUUCUCUCUCAGCACUCGUGCUUGUGCUUGCUAAGUGGACCUGGCUGGUCUGGCCUUGCCCAUCAUGGCCCCUACUCCAGGUGCAGAGCAAAGAGCUCAGGCCACUGCCCAUUCCGUGGAUCUGCCUUUUGGCUGUGGAAACAGAGAGCUUCUGCCUCUGUAAACAAGCAUCCUGUAAACAAGAAUCAAAUAUAUACCCAGCCACGUGGGCUGCAGCAGGCUCUUACCUGCAAGUACCACCUACGGGCUUACAGGUUGAACUGCACAGCCCCAUAUAAAACCUGCCAAAAGAAGUGCACAGGGCUAUAGAAGCAAAGCCAAGACCCCAUCUAGCAUUAUCUAUGUCACACCCCUUAGGGAGGGGGAAAAAGAGAAAGAAAAAAAAAAGCAAUACUAUUACAAGGAAAGAAAGAAAAAGGGAAACUUCUACCUGCAUGAAAAUAAUUACAAAAUCGAGAAGUGCCAGUGUUUCCAGAUGAGAAGGAGCCAGCACAAGAAUUCUGGCACCAGAAUUAUUGGUGGAUAGGGGCCACGAUGGGCGGGGCCAGACCAGCCAGGUCCAUCUGGCAAAAUCUUCAAGUAAUGAUACCACCAAAAGAUUGCACUAGCUCUGCAGCAAUACACCCCAACCAAAAUUUCAAAGGUAGCUAGAGAAAAAGGUCAGAUUACAUACAAAUGGAGCUCCAUCAGACUAACAGUGGAGUUCUCAGCAGAGACUGAGACUACUAGGGCUUGUAUGCUGCCUUCUCCAGGCUGUAGAGUUAGUGGGAGGGGACAGAGAAGGGCAAGGAUUUUAAAACUAACUAUUGGGUACUAUGCUCAGUACCUGGUGAUGGGAUCACUGAUACCCCAAACCUCAGCAUCAUGCCAUAUACCUAGGUAACAAACCUGUAUAUGUACCCUCUGAAUCUAAAAGUUAAAAAGCGAACAAACAAACAAAAUAUAACCUGAUAAAUGGUUUUCUAAAGUUUCCUCCAGAGAGGAAACUUGCACCAGAGCUCUGUUAUCUAUUCUGUUAUUCAUUAUUUUAAAAUAAAAGCCACUUUCUUUUAGUAUCAAU
rnacentral:lncRNA from 10 species